rnacentral:lncRNA from 1 species
AGAGGGAGAGAGAGAGAGAGAGCGAGAGAGGGGGAGACGUACCGGAGGGGACGAGCCGGGGAGGCCGUCGUCGUCCGCCGAUUGCCCUAUCAUGAUGUGAUGAUUUGUGGGUGUUCCUCCCCAAGCCCCGCCGUAGCCACCGCCGCUAGUUCUGCGAGGCUAACUGUCGCCGCCGUGUUCCUCCGCCGCACCCUGGCGGCUUUUCCCGUGAGGCCUGACGCCUCUGCUCCGCCGCCAUAAGAGGCUCGACAGGCCCUUAAAGUUCCAUAAGUGGAGCAUGACGCCACCCUCGCCGAAGCGAUCCUAAAAAGCCUUCCUUUUCUUCAGUAAAAAAACCAGAGAGAUUUAGGGUUAAAUCCGAGGGAAAACGAAAAAUAAUAAUAAUCGGCGAAAGCCUCAUGCUUGAACCGAAUCUUGGAGCCAGCUUGGGGGCCCGAUCCUUCCUGCGAACACGAGCACCGAUAAUUCAGAACAACUUACAGAACUCGGAAGCCAACAAACCCUUCUGGCUUUUCCUGGCUUGACUUGCUUGCUCCGGCUUGAGACGGGGAGAGGGAAGAGCGGGGUGGGGCAGGCUGAGAGGAGUGACGAGGAGAGAGGAGAAAGCUGCCGCGACGCACAAAACUAUGCCGUCUUGUGACUCCCCGCUUGAAGCUGACACAUUUCUCACGGGCUCGAGAGACGGCCCCACGUGCAACACAGACGUGGGAAUUCCCUUCCCGCUCGUCCAUUUAUUGAUCUAGGAGCCCCGCCAGAUCCGCCUGGUUCCGCCGCCGGCGGCUACUUUAGUUCCACCGCCGGGAGACCACAUCCGCCUCCGAUCCAAGGAUGUACUUUCCGGCGAGUCUAUCCUGUCCCCUAUCUAGUCCAGACCAGGAAAAAAUGUAUAAGGCGUGAUUCAAUGAUGGGAUCUAUCUGCAGGAAUGAAAGGUGUGGUUCGUCGAUGAACGUCGGAGUGCGAUAAACAGCCAGGUUGAUCACCGGCGGACGUAGUGGACUAGGCAUUCGUCUCUAAUUCAUGCUCUGUGCAUCUGUCACGGGAAAGUUUCGUGCGCACCUGUUUCCGCGGCUGCAGAUCCGUGAGGAGCGUCUCGUUUGUGGAGGAAGCUGGUGCUCACGAGGGAGUGCUUGAGAGGCGAGGCUGGGGAACUGCUAACAUCUUCCUCGAACGCCAUCCCCCUCCGUUCAUGGUCAUCCCCCGCGCGUUAGGGUUUAACCAAGGUGGAGAGGAGGGUCUCUUCUCCGGGGCGGCGCGAGGGGCUGGGGGACGACCAUGAUGAACUUUUUCUCUGCGGCGGGUUGCGCCGGGCAGCGUCGCCGGCCAUUACCAGGCUCGAUGUGACAGGUUGAAAGGAGUAUCAGGAGGAGAGCAGGAGCUAGUACAACGGCGAGGAGACGGCAAUCGAUGGAUCUGAGCGGAGCUAUGAUUGGCGCGCACUGCCACCCACCUUUGCCGCGUACGGCCUCUUACCAGGGCGGCGCUCUCGCCUAGGCGACGGACGCUCCUCCCGUGGGACCCACCGGGAACGCCCUCCGUCUUCAACCUCUCGCCGUGCCACUUGCGCUUGAAAGCAGAUAGCGUACCAGGUUUCCCUUUUACGAGGAGCAGCCAACCCGAAAUGGCUUGCGUCCCCGUCCUCCUCCGCCACCAUCCUCGAGGAAGACGACGGGCCAUAUAUAUCUCUCUCCCUCUAGGCAAGUGCUCGCCUUCUUCGCUCCGCGGUGCAGCCACUUGGCGGGAAGACGCUGGAGAGAAG